rnacentral:rRNA from 1 species
UACGGAGGAGGCAAGCGUUAUCCGGAAUUAUUGGGCGUAAAGCGCGCGCAGGUGGUUUCUUAAGUCUGAUGUGAAAGCCCACGGCUCAACCGUGGAGGGUCAUUGGAAACUGGGAGACUUGAGUGCAGAAGAGGAAAGUGGAAUUCCAUGUGUAGCGGUGAAAUGCGUAGAGAUAUGGAGGAACACCAGUGGCGAAGGCGACUUUCUGGUCUGCAACUGACACUGAGGCGCGAAAGCGUGGGGAGCAAACAGG